rnacentral:rRNA from 1 species
UACGUAGGGGGCGAGCGUUGUCCGGAUUUAUUGGGCGUAAAGGGCGCGUAGGCGGCCACCGCAAGUCGACUGUGAAAUCUCCGGGCUUAACCCGGAAAGGUCAGCCGAUACUGCGGGGCUAGAGUGCAGAAGGGGCAACUGGAAUUCUCGGUGUAGCGGUGAAAUGCGCAGAUAUCAGGAGGAACACCAGUGGCGAAGGCGACUUCCUGGCCUGUUCUUGACGCUGAGGCGCGAAAGCUAGGGGAGCAAACGGG